rnacentral:rRNA from 1 species
UGGGGAAUAUUGGACAAUGGGCGAAAGCCUGAUCCAGCAAUGCCGCGUGAGUGAUGAAGGCCUUAGGGUUGUAAAGCUCUUUUACCCGGGAUGAUAAUGACAGUACCGGGAGAAUAAGCUCCGGCUAACUCCGUGCCAGCAGCCGCGGUAAUACGGAGGGAGCUAGCGUUGUUCGGAAUUACUGGGCGUAAAGCGCACGUAGGCGGCUUUGUAAGUUAGAGGUGAAAGCCCGGGGCUCAACUCCGGAACUGCCUUUAAGACUGCAUCGCUUGAAUCCAGGAGAGGUGAGUGGAAUUCCGAGUGUAGAGGUGAAAUUCGUAGAUAUUCGGAAGAACACCAGUGGCGAAGGCGGCUCACUGGACUGGUAUUGACGCUGAGGUGCGAAAGCGUGGGGAGCAAACAGG